rnacentral:rRNA from 1 species
UGGGGAAUUUUGGACAAUGGGGGAAACCCUGAUCCAGCCAUCCCGCGUGUGCGAUGAAGGCCUUCGGGUUGUAAAGCACUUUUGGCAGGAAAGAAACGUCAUGGGUUAAUACCCCGUGAAACUGACGGUACCUGCAGAAUAAGCACCGGCUAACUACGUGCCAGCAGCCGCGGUAAUACGUAGGGUGCAAGCGUUAAUCGGAAUUACUGGGCGUAAAGCGUGCGCAGGCGGUUCGGAAAGAAAGAUGUGAAAUCCCAGAGCUCAACUUUGGAACUGCAUUUUUAACUACCGGACUAGAGUGUGGCAGAGGGAGGUGGAAUUCCGCGUGUAGCAGUGAAAUGCGUAGAUAUGCGGAGGAACACCGAUGGCGAAGGCAGCCUCCUAGGAUAAAACUGACGCUCAUGCACGAAAGCGUGGGGAGCAAACAGG